UUUUUUUUUUUUUUUUGUACACCUGAGGAAAGAUUUAUAAACUUUAUGGUAAAGUAUUCCACAUCUGAUCCUUUUUCUAUUUGUCUUUAACUCUCUUCCCCAGCCUUGAUCAUAGCUGCUUUAAAAAGUUUAAAUUUAUUGAUCAUGUUUUUAUUAAUUAUUCAUGUAACUAAGAGCUAGUUUAUUAACUGGGUAGGUCUUGUUUUUUGGACUACUGGGGAAAAACAUGUCACUGACGACUUCUUUAAGCUGAUGGUAUCCAUAUGAGAGGUUCUAACUUUCUCAAGUGCAUAUUUCUGAGAAUUUCUACCUCCAAAGGACUGGUGUUCGCAACAAUUUUCUUUGGAAGAUUUGAGAGCUUAAAUAUUUCAGACUUAGUGGCAAAUUUUAAAGCAAGUUAAUAAACAUUUUUGAGAGAAACAUUAAUUUGUAUUUUGAGUUAUAUAAUUAUUUCCCUAAGGUAAUAAAAUUCAGCUGCUUUUGAAAAUGAAUGUUAUUUUACAUCUCUUACUUUUUAAAAUACUAUUUCCUUAAGCUUGAUAACUUGAUUUUCAAAUUAAAGUAUCUUUUCUAUUUUCACAUUACAUCCUAAAUAACUGAUGCAUUUUUUGAUCCUCUCUGGAACCCAAUAAGUAAAGCUCUGAUUUGAGACUUCUGUAUUAUGAAUUUAUAGCUCUUGCUUGCCACAAGCACACUCCAAAAAACACUGUGCCAGAAUAUAAUGCUAUUAAAGUAUAGAAUAAUAACAAAAAACCAAAAAGUUGAAAAUUGCAUUGGAAGAGCCAUUACUACUACCCAAGACAAAUACAUAUAUUCUGUACAAAACUGGUACAGUUUUGUACCAGUAAGGUUCAACAAACCCCAAACUUUGAGUUUUCUGCUAUUCAUUGAAUAGCUGAAAUAUUCAUUGAAUAGGAGAUUGUCCAGGCCUUUUAUCAGAAGUAUGCACAAUAUAUUGCCCUCUCCAGAUAUACUCUGCAACUGCUUCAUAAAGAGGAGAAAUGGCAACAGGCAAAAUGUAAGAUGCUAAAGGAAGACUUCGGACAUUGUUUGCCCUGAAGAGAUGACAGAACAGAUUUGAUGCCUGCAAAAAUAAAUACAGCAUAUUUAUUGAUAAAAUAUUUUAUUUGUAAAUACAAUUUUUAUUUCUUUUAAAAAAUAAGUGCCAGGAUUUCUACCGCAUAUUUUUAUGAUGAUAUUUCUAAGUAACUGUUCACCAAAGGCUGAAUUUCUUCACUGAUGUGAAUCUGCUUUUGCCAUGCUUCCGUGGUAAGCUUUAGCUGAAGCAAUUCCUUUGAGAGGUGUUCAUACAGGAAUAACUUUGCUGUUCAUAAGGGAUACAAAGAAGCCUGAGGAGAGCAUGACUUCAGUGUAGACAGAAAAGAGUAAACUGAAAAUCCAUCUUCAUGUUCUCCUUAUUCCCAUGUAAUUCAGACAUCCCAGACAAACUCUUUAAUGUGCACAUGAGCAGCAGUACUCUCCCAGCACCAACACACUUCAAAAGGCAGCCAUUAAUAACAUUCCAUGACUCUUCCCACACCCAUCCCUACUAAAACCCUCUUUCUGAAAGCAUCUUUGGAGCUUUGGAAAGUGCUACUUGACUAUGCCUGUUCCUGUUCCAGGUCAACUGUCUCCUCUCUAAAGACAUCUUCCUUUCUUCCAUCCCUCUUGCAUACUGGCAAAGGACACAGUAAGGAUAAGAUUUUCCUCUACAGUUUGUAUAGAUCCAACAACCCAUGUUUUGAUGUAACCCAUGAGAGGUAAAAUCUAAUUUCUGGAUAUUUUCAGUAAUUUUGGAUUUAUUUUAGUAAUUUUUUUCCUGUUUUGGGAACUGUUUUAUUUCUGUUUAAAUGUUACUAUAGAUACUGGAACCUAGCCUUACAAAGUUACAUAACCAGCCUCUGCAGAGGCGAGGGCAAGGGUGUCUGGAGGGAAGGGUGUCUGGAGGGACAUAACACCCUCCUAUGCAAAUCUGACACAGAGAACAUUUGGUGCAGAAAUGCUGGGAGGGAAAGGCACCCUUCACACCCGUCUCCAGGUCUGGGAGGCUGUGUGCCUGCCCUGAGGCCCAUAAGGGACAGAACAUGGCUGAAGCAUCUGGGAACAACUGGGUGAAACAACUAGUCAUAGCACAGUCAUAAAAAAUAUUGAAAGGGUAACAGCAGAUAUUGUUCUGACAGAGAGAGAGAGCAACACAUACCAGUAGACACUUUACAGCUUGGAAACAAGAAUGAAGGUACAUUGCCUUUGUCUGAACUGUUCAGGACAGUGAUGUGUACAGAAACCAACCACCUUGGAAGAAGCUAAGUCUAUGCCCAGGGAGUCAGAGUGGCCAAGCACAGCAGCUAACUAGCCCCAAAAGCAGACCUAGUCAGUUGUUGUGUCACUGCUGUCUCUGUGCCCAAGAUCUGUGGUGGUGGCUGGAUAAACACAGUUCAAAAAUCACGAGUUUCCUCAGUGCAAACUCUGAGCAAUGUUACCUAACCAUGGUAGUAUGCUCAUGGCUCAGGCAUUUUUCUAUUACUCAUGAAUAUUUCUUUGCCAUAUGGUAGGGAAAAAGAAGUUUCUACACCAACUUAAUAUAUUAAUUUGGCUUUUUCAUCAUGUUCAUAAUUUAGGAAAAUGCUUAAGAAAAGUCCACUAUCCUCAAAGCCCAGAAAUUCUCUAUUGCUCCACCAAAUACAACUGAACUCCAAGCAGGGACCUGCAUGUUAGAGGGGAAAGAUGGUGCACUGCUUUCCCAAUGUUUUCAACAAAGCCAGGCUCAGCUCUUGACCUCUUAAAACAUUGAAGCAUUCUGAACUGAGGUAGACAUUUGAACAUUUAAUAGAGCAUAUGCUAAUUCAGACACUGUAAUUUUUGCACUUCCCUGCUCACACUACCAGUUUCCUGAAAAUGGUGAUCAUGCUCCCCUAUUUCACAGAGCUGUAGCAAAGAAAUUCCCUUAGCAAGUAUGUGAUGCUUGUCAUCAAAGUCUAAAGAAAAAGAGCUGAAAUAGAAAUUCCCUGCAUCCCAGGCACAUAAAAUGCCCAAAUGAUUUUUAUUUAAAUUAGUGUCCAUUGUAAUCUUGCCUUUCUUGGCAACUGCUACAAAUGUUCCCUUUACAACCAGUGAAGAUGCUGCUGCUUUUUUAGUGAAACAAGCAGAGAGCUCAGCAAGACAGCCAUUUAGGACCAGAAGUAAAAAUUAAUCAACACCACAUGGUAAUAAUGUAGGCAAGCAGAUUUUGUGAACAGAAGUCUUGUUUCACCUUCCCUGCAUAUACCUGCUACCCCAAUUUUAUAUCUCACAACUCUGUCUCACUGCCAAUUAUACUGAUACCAAAGUUUUUAACCCAUACGUAACUUUUAAUUAAAUAAAGGCCAUGUAGUUACUCUUCACAAGGUAUGAGUAUAGUGCUGCACUUGAAAGUCUCCAACACAAUUUGAAAUAAGUACACACUUAGGUUAGUAGAUUUUUCCCAAAGCAUGGAAAACAGGUCAGACACACGUCCACUGCAUCUGUGCAUUUAAAAAACAGGGUUUAUGUAACCACGAAGAGGGAUAGUAAAUGAUCAGGUACUGACAAGGCAAGCAGGAGGUCCUGACUCCAGUGCUUGUAGUGCGCUUAUAUAUAUAUAUAUAUAUAUAUAUAUAUAUAUAUAUAUAUAUAUAUAUACAGAUAUUUCAAUUCUAUUUCCACCUUCUGUUACUAACAAUUAAAUUAAAUUAAACAAAAUUAAAUCCCUCACAAAAAAACCUACAAAACAAACAAAUUUUAAAAAGCCCAGUUUGCCUUGAGAAAUGCCAAUAGAGAACAAUUUCUAUGAUGUACUGAUUCCCCUAUUGCCCAGGUUUUGUCUGGGAGAGAGUUGAUUUUUUUCCCCCAGUAGCUGGUACAGGGCUGGGGUUUUGAUUUAGUAUGAUAAUAAUGUUGAUAGCACACUGAUGUUUUAGUUGUUGCUGAGCAGUGCGUACCCUAAGUGGAGGACUUUUCAGCUGCCCAUCCUCUGCCAGCAAGGUGGUCCACAAGAAGCACAGUAGAAGCAUGGCCAGGACAGUUGGCCCAAAGAGACCAAAGAGUGUCACACUCAGUAUACAAACUGGGUGGGGGAGAGGUCAAUCACUGCUCAGGGAUAGGCCUGGCAUUUGUCAGCAGGUGAUGAACAAUUACAUUUUUCAUCAUUUGUGUUUCUUGGGGUUUAUUUUGCUGUCUCUUCUUUUUGUUGCAUCUCUUUUCAUUUAAAUUAUUAUAGUAUUAUUAUAUUUUAUUCCUAUGAUUAAGCUGUUCUUAUCUCAACCCACAGGUUUUACCUUUUUCCCCCCCAUUCUUCUCUGAUCACACUGGCGGCCAGGUUGCAGCAAGCAGCUGUGUCAUACUUAGUUACCAGCUGGGGUUAAACCAUGACUCCCACUUUUUAACAACCUGUUUCCUUCAAAACUGUUUCAAGAUAUACUCUGAAAACCUGAGGACUUAAAAAGAACCUGGUCUUUUUUGAAAAUGUAGUACUAGUAUGAAGGGAUGUAGAUUAAGGAAAAGAGAUGGUGAGUUUUCCCUCAAAGCUUAGACUGAAGAUGUUUUUCUGGUGAUGGUUUUAUGUCUGAUUCAUGAAAAAUUUUGAAGUUGUUUGGCAAAACAUACUGAACAAAGGCUUUCCUAUUGCAUUGAAGAAGCUAUGAGCACACUGAAAGACUUGCACAUAUUGUGAAAUAGUUUCUUUACUUUCACAUCAUUUUAAUGUCACUCAUUUUCUUGAUGAAAUCUUGAACUAUAAACUGAGCUGUAAAUAAUGUAACCCAUUACUUUGGAUGUUCUGAAUGCCACAUCCCCUUCUAUCUCAGUACUUUUUCUUUUACAAUUCCACAGUGCUUUGCUUGAAUUAUAACUACUGCUGGAGUAUUUCAAGUGAAUUCAGGCCACUUUAACUGAUC
rnacentral:lncRNA from 1 species